rnacentral:rRNA from 1 species
GACGUAGGGGGCCAGCGUUGCUCGGAAUUACUGGGCGUAAAGGGUCCGUAGGCGGUGCGGUAAGUCGGGAGUGAAAUCUCUGGGCUUAACUCAGAGGCUGCUUCCGAAACUACCGUGCUAGAGUGCGAGAGAGGCAAGUGGAAUUGCGGGUGUAGCGGUGAAAUGCGUAGAUAUCCGCAGGAACAUCCGAGGCGAAAGCGGGCUGCUGGAUCGCAACUGACGCUGGAGGGACGAAAGCUAGGGGAGCAAACAGG